AAGGGACGUCCCGCUCAUCAGCCCGAUCGCCUUCAGCAAGGGCCUCUCCCUCGGGCAGAAAUGCCCUCAUUUGCGCGCAUUCCGAUCCCAACCGCUUGGUUGAAUCCGACGCCGGACCUGAUACACCACAGGCCCAAAUAAACGCUAAAUAUCUGAAUCGUUAAAGAGUGCCGCCAUGAGCGCCUACAAGUCCGAUUUCCUCAACGUCCUUCAGAGCCGGGGCUUCAUCCAUCAGAUCUCGGAUGCCGCCGGACUCGAUGCACUUGCAGCCAAGGGCGAUGUGACGGCCUACAUCGGAUACGACUGCACGGCAUCGUCCCUGCACGUCGGGCACCUGCUUUCGAUCAUGAUGCUGCACUGGCUUCAGCAAACCGGCAACAAG
rnacentral:misc_RNA from 1 species